UCAAACUUGGUCAUUUAGAGGAAGUAAAAGUCGUAACAAGGUCUCCGUUGGUGAACCAGCGGAGGGAUCAUUACGAAGAGAGUUUUCACGAACUCGCCAACCCUCUGUGAACUUAUCUCCACGUCGUUGCCUCGGCGGGCAGCCCCAGGGCGGGGCCGGCGCCUCCCCGAGGAGGGAGGUGCCCGCCGGAGGCCCCCAUCUAUAACUCUGUCAUCAGCAGUAUUCUGAGUCUCAUCACAAUUAAGAAUCAAAACUUUCAACAACGGAUCUCUUGGCUUUGGCAUCGAUGAAGAACGCAGC
rnacentral:misc_RNA from 1 species